GACGGAGGAUGCAAGUGUUAUCCGGAAUCACUGGGCGUAAAGCGUCUGUAGGUGGUUCGAAAAGUCCACUGUUAAAAAUUGAGGCUUAACUUCAAAGAUGCCGUGGAAACUUUCAAACUAGAGUAUGGUAGGGGUAGAGGGAAUUUCCAGUGGAGGCGGUGAAAUGCGUAGAUAUUGGAAAGACCACCGAUGGCGAAGGCACUCUACUGGGCCAUUACUGACGCUGAGAAGCGAAAGCAUGGGGAGCGAACAGG
rnacentral:rRNA from 1 species